GACUACUAGGGUAUCUAAGCCGGUUCGCUCCCCACGCUUUCGCACCUGAGCGUCAGAUAUGGCCCAGUUCGCUGGUUUCCCCCUUGGUGUUCCUGCCGAUCUCUACGCAUUUCACCACUACACCGGCAAUUCCACGAACCUCUGCCACUCUCGAGUUGCGCCGUAUGGGAUGGCCUCGAGCCGUUAAGCGGCUCGCUUUCACACCCCACGCGCGCAACCGCCUGCGUGCGCUUUACGCCCAGUCAAUCCGGACAACGCUUGGCUCCUCUGUCUUACCGCGGCUGCUGGCACAGAGUUAGCCGAGCCUGAUUCGCGGGGUACGGUCAUUAUCAUCCCCCGCAAAAGGAGUUUACAACCCGAAGGCCGUCAUCCUCCACGCGGCGUUGCUCGGUCAGGCUUGCGCCCAUUGCCGAAAAUUCCUUACUGCAGCCCCCCGUAGG
rnacentral:rRNA from 1 species